rnacentral:rRNA from 1 species
CCUACGGGAGGCAGCAGUGAGGAAUAUUGGUCAAUGGGCGCGAGCCUGAACCAGCCAAGUCGCGUGAGGGAAGACGGUCCUAUGGAUUGUAAACCUCUUUUGUCGGGGAGCAAAAGACGCCACGCGUGGCGUUCCGAGAGUACCCGAAGAAAAAGCAUCGGCUAACUCCGUGCCAGCAGCCGCGGUAAUACGGAGGAUGCGAGCGUUAUCCGGAUUUAUUGGGUUAAAAGGGUGCGCAGGCGGAAGAUGAAGUCAGCGGUAAAAUUGAGAGGCUCAACCUCUUCGAGCCGUUGAAACUGGUUGUCUUGAGUGAGCGAGAGGUAUGCGGAAUGCGUGGUGUAGCGGUGAAAUGCAUAGAUAUCACGCAGAACUCCGAUUGCGAAGGCAGCAUACCGGCGCUCAACUGACGCUCAUGCACGAAAGUGUGGGUAUCGAACAGGAUUAGAUACCCUUGUAGUC